GCUCCUGUACGGUGUACAUUUUAGGACAUCGUCAGGUAUCAGAAAAAAAAUUGUCAGGUGUCAGUUGUCAAAAAAAAAAUUGUCAGGUAUCAGAAAAAAAAUUGUCAGGUGUCAGUUGUCAAAAAAAAAAAAGUCAGGUAUCAGACAAAAAAUUGUCAGGUGUCAGAAAAAAAGUUGUCAGGUAUCAGAAAAAAAAUUGUCAGGUGUCAGAAAAAAAGUUGUCAGGUGUCAGAAAAAAAGUUGUCAGGUGUCAGAAAAAAAAUUGUCAGGUGUCAGAAAAAAAAUUGUCAGGUGUCAGAAAAAAAGUUGUCAGGUGUCAGAAAAAAAAUUGUCAGGUGUCAGAAAAAAAAUUGUCAGGUGUUAGAAAAAAAAUUGUCAGGUGUCAGAAAAAAAGUUGUCAGGUGUCAGAACACAAGGUACCAGAGAGAAAAUCUUCCUGCAGGUGGCGCUGUUGUCAUGUCCCACCCGAAUUGAUUUCCAAAUACGUCAUCAACGUGUGACCGUGGGAGAGCGUAAGGUCAUUGACCUCACCGGAGUUUUACCGUGGUUCAGGCUCCUAACGACACAAGCAAAUGGACAAGCUGAAAGCUUACGAGCAGCUUAAAAAAGACCUUGAAAAUGGUGAGAUUACCCAAAAAGGCUUUGAUAACAACAUAAAAAAGCUCCUGACAGCAGAAAAAUCAGAUGACACUACUUCAACACGUGGCAAUGAAUUUCUCAGUGCAGCAGAGGCCUUUGGUAAAGCCAAGAAACUACUACAGCCUCAAGUAAAGAAAAGGCAGUUUCCACUGAAUGAUAAACGUUUGGACCAUGCCAAAUCAUUAUUGAAGGUCAGACUGGCUCCCAUGGAGUGGAAGCCAAGAACUCAUAGAAAGUGUGGACGGUACCAGAAGUUAAUAAUGGACGAAGCUCCACCUCGAAUCAUUCUUCAAGGCCAUGAAACCUAUGAUGAUUUAAUUACCAUAGGCAAAGAACGCUUCUGGCCAGAGCGUACUGAGGGGAGUGAGUUCACUCUUUGCCAUUCUGACGGGACCAGGUGGAGUAAGCAGGAGUUCCACAAAGAAUACGGAACUGUUUCUGAUAUUACACAUAUGUGGAAAAGAACAAUAUACAUCGGGCGACGACAACUGGAUGAACUUCCUGAAACCCUCAUAGGACAAAGUGUUGCAGAACAGGAUUUCCAUGCAGAAACAUCCAGCUCAGCUGAAUUUGAAACAGGGAGAGUCAGAAAGAAAAGCCAGUCCAAGCAAAGGAAGGAGGAAAAUGUAG
ensembl:lncRNA